UCGGUAAGACGUCGUGGAGGUCCGAACCCACUUCAGUUAAAAAUGGAGGGGAUGAGUUGUGGAUAGGGGUGAAAGGCCAAUCAAACACCGUGAUAGCUGGUUCUCCCCGAAAUGCAUUUAGGUGCAGCGUUGCGUGGUUCUUGUUGGAGGUAGAGCACUGGAUGGUCUAGGGGGCUUAUCGGCUUACCGAAAUCAGCCAAACUCCGAAUGCUGGCAAGCGUAGCGUGGCAGUGAGACGGCGGGGGAUAAGCUUCGUCGUCGAGAGGGAAACAGCCCAGAUCAUCAGCUAAGGCCCCUAAGUGGUGACUCAGUGGGAAAGGAUGUGGAGUUGCGUAGACAACCAGGAGGUUGGCUUGGAAGCAGCCAUCCUUGAAAGAGUGCGUAAUAGCUCACUGGUCAAGUGAUUCCGCGCCGAUAAUGUAGCGGGGCUUAAGUUAUCCGCCGAAGCUGUGGCAACCUGUGUGGUUGGGUAGGGGAGCGUCGUGUCAGUGGUGAAGCUGCCGGGUGACUGUGUGGUGGAGUUGAUGCGAGUGAGAAUGCAGGCAUGAGUAGCGUGUGACGGGUGGGAAUCCCGUCCGCCGAUUAUCCAAGGGUUCCAGGGUCAAGUUUGUCUGCCCUGGGUGAGUCGGGUCCUAAGGCGAGGCCGACAGGCGUAGUCGAUGGGUAACCAGUUGAUAUUCUGGUACCGGCUUGUCACCGUCCGUGUCGAGGUGUGUGAUGCUAAGCAUGUGAGCUUGUCUUGGGAGUGUUUUUGAUGCUUCUGGGGUGGGUGAGUGUGUGAACCGAUCAUGUAGUAGGCAAGCUGCGGAGGGACGCAGUGAGGUAGCUCAUCCCCGGUGAUGGUUGUCCGGGGCUAAGUGUGUGGACUGUCUGGUAGGUAAAUCCGCUGGGCGUGAAGGUUGAGGCAUGAUGGGGAGCCCACGGUUGUGGGUGAGUGAGUGAUCCUGUACUGUCGAGAAAAGCUUCGUGAGCGAGGUGGCGGGUCCGCCCGUACCCUAAACCGACACUGGUGGAUAGGUAGAGUAUACCGAGGCGAUCGAGUGAAUCGUGGUGAAGGAACUCGGCAAAAUGCCCCCGUAACUUUGGGAUAAGGGGGACCUGAGCUGUCGUGCACCCGUGCGGUGUGGUGGCGGUGAGGGGCGCAGAGUCCAGGGGGAAACGACUGUUUACCAAAAACACAGGUCCGUGCGAAGUCGUAAGACGAUGUAUACGGACUGACUCCUGCCCGGUGCUGGAAGGUUAAGGGGAACUGUGAGUGUGAUGCGUAGCGGUGAACUUAAGCCCCAGUAAACGGCGGUGGUAACUAUAACCAUCCUAAGGUAGCGAAAUUCCUUGUCGGGUAAGUUCCGACCUGCACGAAUGGAGUAACGAUUUCCCUACUGUCUCCACCAUGAACUCGG
rnacentral:rRNA from 1 species